GAUGAACGCUGGCGGCGUACCUAAUACAUGCAAGUCGAGCGAACAGACGAGGAGCUUGCUCCUCUGACGUUAGCGGCGGACGGGUGAGUAACACGUGGAUAACCUACCUAUAAGACUGGGAUAACUUCGGGAAACCGGAGCUAAUACCGGAUAAUAUGUUGAAUCGCAUGGUUCAACAGUGAAAGACGGUCUUGCUGUCACUUAUAGAUGGAUCCGCGCCGCAUUAGCUAGUUGGUAAGGUAACGGCUUACCAAGGCAACGAUGCGUAGCCGACCUGAGAGGGUGAUCGGCCACACUGGAACUGAGACACGGUCCAGACUCCUACGGGAGGCAGCAGUAGGGAAUCUUCCGCAAUGGGCGAAAGCCUGACGGAGCAACGCCGCGUGAGUGAAGAAGGUCUUCGGAUCGUAAAACUCUGUUAUUAGGGAAGAACAAAUGUGUAAGUAACUAUGCACGUCUUGACGGUACCUAAUCAGAAAGCCACGGCUAACUACGUG
rnacentral:rRNA from 1 species